rnacentral:lncRNA from 1 species
UUGGACAUCAGAGGUGAGGGGAACAAAGAGAUGAUUUGCCAGUAAAAACUUAUCGUCUUUUUAAGUUGCUGCUUCCGGGCUUCUACGAAAGAAGAUUGAGCAUCGCAUUUUUUUCAUUUCGUUCAAAUAAACCUAGGUUGUUGUUCCCUUUGCCGCUUUCGGCAUAGCGUGAACUAGCUCGGCGCGAUGCUAGUUCGGUCUGCAGAUCUCCGGUCUCAAUCCUUGCACCUGACCGUAGUCAUAAUUUGUUAUGCUUUUUAUAGAUUCGUUUGUUUGUUGUGAGUUCUCCUCCCUCCCAACAUGUGGUGCCCCGACUCUUUAACAGACCAAUCACUGCCGUCUCCCACCUAGCCGAGAUCUAGAUUGCCAAGUUAACCUGCGGAACUUUGCUGCAGGCCGAGCACGAGUGUGUUUCAACGUUUUUGGCAGUUCUACCGGCAUCAGUGGGAGGUUCAGUGAUCAAUCGUAGAUUAUUUACUUUCGGGGAAUUGGUCCAGUGAAUAUUAUUAUAUAAAUAAUGAGCGAUGCCUCUCCGUGUCCCUAACUUGAAACAAUAGAAACCAGCAUAGCAACAAUCAAGUGAGUAUAUCGAAAAAAGGACGAGAUUGGCUUGAGAAAGCAGGGGCCAUACUGGCCUUUUGAAGGCCGGCCCUGGCUUGCUUUACUAUAUAUUAAGCUACACAAGCCUCCACUGGCUGGGGCUUUUAUCCGCGAAUGGAAGGAACUGAUCUCAAUCUUUCGUCGAACACAGCGGUACUUGGUGUUGGUGCUACAAAGAAGACUUGGUGGGGACCAGGUAGGCGAUGUUGAAUCUUGCCGUGAUCUUCCUAGAGUUAGGGUUUUGCAAGGCCGUCAGACGAGAUUUCAAACUAGCAAUUCAGGAUUGAAGGUUUUUACCUUUAAGAGAAAAAUCCCUGUUGUGAAGGACCUAAAGACGGGCAGAAUGACAUGAUACAUGAGCAAGUAGGCGUUGAUCUUUUUAUCAUCUUUCUUGCUGGCCCGUAGACUUGUUUCCGGCGGUGUCUAGUCGCAUCGGCACGGGAUUCGCUAUGCCCCACCUCUUUGGUGUAGUUGUAGUUAGUUUCUCACACAGGAAGUGAUCCUCAAACUUGAGCUAAAGGUAAUGAAUGACCUGAGACACAGCCCUUUCCUUUCAUUUUUUGAAGUAAGAGUAAUAGCAAAUCUGAGCUCGGAGCUCGCCAAUCAAUCUUUGAGCGAGAGGAGAGGGCCGAUACCGUGCCUUUACCUAUCAUGGUUCCCGCUAGCUAAGCGCGUUUACUGAGUUGCCUACCCAGUAAACGCGCUUUCGAGCUAACUGCAG